UGAUUCACAGAACUUGGAAAUGUUUACUUACGAGUUUAUUAUACAAGGAUAAAAGUAAGGGUACAAACGAGCAUCUUGAUGAAAGAGAUGUGUAGAAUAAGGUGUGUGGAGCCCCACACUGCUGCGACUUUUAUGGGGGCUUCAUCACAUAGGCAUGAUUGAUCAUUAACUCCAUUUUCAAUCCUUUCCCCUUCUCAAGAGAAUAGGGGGCAGGGCUGAAAAUUCCAAGCUUCUAAUCACGGCUUGUUUUCCUGGUGAUCAGCCCCCACCCAGGAGCCUACCCAGAGCUGCCUCAUUAGUAAAGACCAAAUAUUAAAACAAGCGUGCUCUAACGCUCUUAUCACCGAGGAAAUUACAAGGGUUUUAAAGAGUUCUGUGUCAGGAACCAGGGGCAGAGACCAGUAUGUAUAUAUAUAUUUUUUGUAUUUUCUCACUCUUGCUUUCCCAGGGACUCAUCAUUGUAAGAUAAAUUCUAGCCGAAAUAAGCAGGCAAAGAGAGGCAACAAAGAGCCAGGUAAUUUAUUUGAAUGCCCCCAGGCAAGGUUCCGCGGUCUGGCUAUCACAGGCCCGGGAAGUCACGCGAAAGUAGAUAGGCAGUGAGUUUUUAAAGAAGGUGGUGGGAGGCAGAGCUUAGAUUUACAGCGGCGCAAGGAUUGGCUAGCCUAAGGCACAUUUUUCAGGUUGGGAGGGGGCAGCAGCCGGGGACUUUGGCACGUCAUCAGUGUCUGACGUGCUCACCCUUCCCCCCAGUGCCUUCAACCUUACAAUCAGUACUCGGUCAUAGAAAAGGAUAGCCACUGAACCAUUGUGAAUGUCAGUGUAUAUGUUACAUAUCUCUAAAGUCCUAGCCCAGUUCCCUGUUCAUAAUAGGUAUAGAAUAAAUUUUAAUGACAAUGAUUUGAAAGUGAGCAUACAGAUAUUUCUUGCCGGCUAUUCCAGAUUGUUGUAAGGAGCACAGGAAAUCAUAACUGGAGCUCCCUUGAAAAGUACUGAAUGUUAUUCGAGUGUGAUGUGAAACUAUAAAAUCGAUAUUAGACUAAUUAAUUUUUGUUUUAUAUAUGAAUCGUGGACUUACUAUGUGCUGAGUACUGUGCUAGGUAUUUUAUAUCUCAUUCUUAGAGUUGUUAUACCAUUUCUCUGCCGUAAGUAUUUCGUGGAACAAAAGCAUAGUUAUAUGUAUCAAUUUUAUCCCCGUUUUGCAGAUGAGGAAAAUAAGGCCCAAAAAGAUUAGUUUACUCACCCAAGGUCACACAGCAGCAAAGCCACCUUUAGGCUCCAGAUCAGUUGGCUUCUGCAUGACUAAGUAUGAGACAAGAUGAGAAAGUGAAGGGAGUGGUUAUCACUCAGCAGGAUCCUGCAAAGAGAAAGGAACACUGAGAUGGUAAAAGGCUCCAAGGAAAGCUGUCCUCUUCCACUUCCUCUAUACUUCUUGCCUCCAUCCUUGCAUUGGACUAUCUGGUAGCUGCUAAAAGUAUAUUUCUGAUAAUUCUAAUGGAACAUGGGUCUCUCAGAUGGAGGGUUGUUGUUAGUAGUCUUUCCAAAGAACCACAAUACUUAUCUAAACAUCUAAAUAGUGUGCGAGAAUGAGGGGGGCAGUGUAUGGCCAAAGCAGUGCCAUGUUUCAGUGCAUAGGUCCUCGGGUCAUGCUGCCCAGGUCUCUGACUUUAGACAAGAUACUUGACCUUGCUAAGCCACAUAUCCCUCACCUACAACUGUAGGUCCUAAAGUUAAAGUUAUCUUGGUAACUCAUAAAGUUAUUUUGAUAAAUGAGAAAACAUUUAAAAGGAGUCAGCAUAAUGCAUAUGGUAACUCCUCAGUAAAUGUUAGCCUAGAUCAUGUUAUUAUUAGUGUGUUAUUCAAGGCCACAUUUUUUAUUGCAUUUGAUUUCCACAAGGUGGCAGGUCUAGUUCAAAGUGGACUACAUAGCUCUGUGUCCCAAAGGCAAACUAAUUGUUUCAGAAUAACUGGGCCAAAUAUGAACUGUUCUGAAACUUCUUCAUAAAACUGUCUAUAGAAUAUUUAUUAUGGUCCAGGCAUCUUAUUGCUGUAAAAUCCAUUUUAAUGGAACAUAUGGAACAUUUAAUUUAAUCCUCUUGUUUCUCACGAUUCCCAGGACCAUCUGCAUUUACAUGAAAUGUCUAUUAACUCUACUAUGGGUCACCCUCCUAAGUGAGUACAUUCAAGUCAUCUCAUUAUUCACUAAGUUUAGUCCCUGAAGACUGUGCAGAGGAGAAAAUUAGCAAACUGAAAAGAGUCCUGGACUCUGUGAUUGGUGAGCUGCAGAAGACAGGAGAUUUGUACACCCGGUUCUAGAGUGGUAGGAUAUUUGGUCUGUUAAUUAGGAGCUGGAAAAAUAACAAAUGGAGAUACCAAAUGGAGAUUCUCCAGCCCGUUUGUAAAGGCAUAUAGAAGGAAAUCCUUAAUUAGUAUAAUUCAGAUGUUUCUUUUGUGUAUCCUCUUCUUUCUCCAUUUCCCUAAUUUCAUGUCCUAUUGAUAAUCUCCAAUUUCUAUUACUUGGUCUUUAAAGCAUUGCUUUUGGGAUCAGACCAAACCAGGUCCAAAUCCUGGCUUCACUACCUGUUACAGCAGUGUUCAUAGCAGUUAUUUGACAAAUACUUAACUUCUUUACACCUCAGUUCUUUACCUGACAAUAACAGUGCCUACCUUUAAGAGUUUUUGUAAGGAUAAAUGAAAUAAAGCAUGUGGACAACUGAAUUAAAUCAAGAGUAGUCACUAGUAAUUGUAUUGGCAUAGCCUUGCCCAGCAUAUGGCAGAUAGUAGGUAUUCAGUAAGCAUAUGUAGAAUCAAUAAAUGAUGCUUACUUUCGUACUGCAAAGUGAUAGUAACUCUAACCCUGGCCUUGAAGUCUUCAAGGAAAAUGCACAGUGAAGUAGUGUUAUUUGUCAAACGUGUCCUCUGACAAUCAGAGUUAAACGUGAGCACUUCCUUGAUUUAUGUACAGGAUCUGAAGACCGGUUCCCAGGGUUUUGUUCCUGCCUCCCAGUUGGUAAUUGUGUGACAUGUGAGUGAGCAACUUACUUAACAUUUCUGUGCUUUAGUUUCCUUAUCUGUAAAGCCAGGAUGGCAGAGGCAUUUAUUGUUUAGAUUUAGAGAGGUGUGAAUUUUCAAUGAGUCAGUUUAGGUAAAGCACUUAGCACAGGGCCUGCAAUCCCUUAAGCGCUCAGUAAAUGUUAGCUGUUAUUCUCCGGCAAUGUUUGGAAGACCUACAAUUGCUUAUACUCAAUUCACUUGGGGGAUUUUUGGAUGUUGUAAAGCUAACUCUUCUAGUUUCUAAUUAGGAAAGAAGAUAAAGCAGACCUCUUGGCAAUUUCCUGCCUAUGAAACCUUGUGUUUUAUGAACCACGGAAAGAACCCCAGAUUUCUUUUCAGCCCUACCCCAGCAAACUGACGAACUCCGGUCUUUCCCGCCCACUCUCUGUACAUCUCCCACGGGACCUUAAAAGCCAAGCAAGUGUUAGUGCUUUGUGCUUAGCUGUGUUACUAGUGCUCCAUUUCUUACAGUUUCAACAAACUCAGCUUUAUGCCAGUUUUAUCUACCAGAGUGUCAGCCUUGCUGUGAGACCGGAGUUUACCUGAUUCCAUGGAUUUUACAAAGUCAGAAGUGGGAGAGAGAAUUUCAACCAAGGAGACUUACAGAGUAGGAGUGGCAUUGAAUGGCUGCUGCUGUAAACUGUAGACAGAAAUCCCAAACCCCCAAGCCCCAAACACCCAAACGGCCCAUUCAGCUGUACGCAUUUUAAACACAACCACGCAUUUGAGAAAAUGCGCCAUCAGAACCCACAUGACCCCUCUUUUGGCACCAAAUUUGUGGCAGUGGAACUGGAUGUGGCAAUAAAUAAUGGGCCAGGAUGACUUGCAGAGAUCUGAGCUUGCUCUGAAGUAACAAUUGAUACAUUAUCAACCAACAGGCAAAGGAGAACUUUGAAAAAGGACAUUGAGAUCAAAUCAACUCCUACACAAAGAGCAUGCCACAAUGGGGUAGAAGGUGGGGGAGGACAAAGGUCACUGGUGGGAAGCGGGUGAGAAUGAGCCAAAUUAACACCUUCUCUUAGAGAACUGUGGCCAGUUGGGGCUCCUGGACAUGGUCCUCAUGCAGAGAUCAGAGACUUCUAAUGCAGAAGAUUUUAACUUUGUUUUGUGUUAGCCAAAUCUACAAAGAAAAACCCAGAUUAUGUGCUGCAAAUUAUAUUUAAACAGGUGUUAACUGAUCUCUUCAUGCAAAAUAUCUUUUUUAGUUGCUAUGGGGCAAAUCAACUCCUUCAGGUAUGUAUUGCAACCAUGGUCCAGGAACUGUGCUAGGUGAUGGGGUUAUAAAGAUGAAUAAGCUACACCCUCACUUCAAGGAGUUGAUAAUCUGGGGAACGAGAAAGGGAGAGUAAUGACAGGUACUUGGCAGAUUAGCAAAAGCAGCGUGGUGGUGGGGGUCGUGGAUGUCAUGGUGGUAGUUCAGAUGGGUUUGGGGGUCAGGCAGACCUGGCUACCCAACUUUGCCACUGUUUGACUCACAUUGUUCUUCCUAACUUGCAUAGGUAAAGAAUAAGAUAUUUGCAGAAACUACUGAUUAUUAGUUGCCCAACUAAUGACUGAUAAAAGUUAUAUAAGGCAGUUAUAUAUAUAUAUAUAUAUAUAUAUGCCUCAGUUUCCUUAUCUGUGAAAUUUGAAUGAUAGUAAUAAACCAAUCACCUAGCCUACACAAAUUAAAUGGAUCAAUGCAUGUAAAUAUUUAGAAUGGCCCUGUGUAUAGUAAGCCAUGUGUAAGUGCUUGCUAUUUAUUAUUAACUGCCAUGGCAUUGAUAUGCUCUAUAACGACGUGAUUAAAAAUGCUGUAGACUACUUACUACCCAUUUAUAGAUAGAGACUAGAUAGAUGGAUGAUUGAUAGACACACAUGUAGAAAAGAUAUUAAUAAUAUUUUGCUAAGUGGGAAAUAAAGUAUGUUGCCUACUUUCCAGAUAAUGUAGUGUGAGAGUCAUGUAGAUCUGUGUGUGGUGGAUUAGAGCCAGUGUCAGAUCCACCAUGCACACACUCAAAGCUGAGUCCCUGGAACAGAAUGACAUUCAGCUGGGAUUGGUCCUAUUUUUCUGGCUCUUCCUGUGCGUCCCACAGACCUCAGGGCUAUAAUGAAGUACUGGCAUGUGCUGCAGGUAGGGCUGACCAGCCUAGGGCUCCCAACACUUAUUUCAGUUCUGUGUAGCUGAAAUACCUUCUGACACUGGAAGGCUAAACUGGACAACAAUGACUGGAAAAUGUCUCCCAUUUAUCCAGACAUGUAUCUGCAGAGAAAACUCUGACAGGAAGAAAAGCAGCUUCCGUCCUCUUUCCACCUCCUGUCUGUCCCUUCCUAAGUCUUCGGCUUUAAUUUCUGGCCAACUUCAGCAACGCUGACAAGACAAAGAGAAGUCUUUGCACUGUUUAGUCUGCUUUUAAUUAUUUCAGUAUGAAGACCUUCCCUGAGCAGCGGACAACAAAUUUGCCGUUCAUAAUUUUCUCCUCACUCUUCCUUCUGGGUGUUGGGUGUGAAGUGAGACGGGGCCAGGUGCAGCCAGACUUCCUGGGAGAUGCCGGUUUCCCUGAAUGUAUGGUUCACCCAGAGAAAGCCCCUGUGGGGAACCCCACAGACCCUUCCGUGAUUGUGCCUCUGAGGACACUGCAGGUGUCCUGCUCCUGGGCUGCUCUUGCCUUCCCUGGGGCAGUGGUCCUAGCUUCUUUCUUCUGGAAGAUGGCCGUCCAGACCUUCCCCUUCCUCGGUACAAAGGAAAGGCUCUGGGGCCACACCUUGGAUUCAGAUACCACCUACCUGCCACGUAGCUUUGGGCACAUUAUUUAACGAUGCUGAUCCACCAUUUCCUUCCAUUUCAGAGAUGGGAGUUAUGGAAUAAGACAGAGAAAGACAAAUACUAUGUGAUAUUGCUUACAUAUGAAAUCUAAGAAAAAAUGAAUUCAUCGAUACAGAGAACAAACUGGUGGUUACCAAAGGUGGCAGGGUGCAGGGCAAAAUGGGUGAGGGUGGACAAAAGGUACAAACUUCCAGUUAUAAGUCCUGGGAUGUAAUGUACAACAUGGCGACUAUAGUUAAUACUGUGUUGCAUAUUUGAAAGUUGCCAAGAGAGUGCAUCUUAGUUCUCAUCAUGAGAAAAAAUGUAACUAUGUGAGGUGAUGGAUGUUAACUAGACUUACUGUAAUCACUUCACAAUAUAUACAAAUAUUGGAUCAUUCUGUUUUACACCUAACACUAAUACAAUGUGAUGUCAGUUAUAUCUCAAUAAAAAAAAAGAUGGGAGUAAUAAAUUAUCUAACUGAUAAUGUCAAAAAAGCCCUAAGGAGGGAAUAAUUAGGCCGUUAUGGAAGAUAUGAAGAAUCAAAUGAGGUAACAAAAGUUACUUAACAAAAAGCACUUAACAUCUGAAAUACAGUAAUAAUUGGGUAUCAUUUACACAUUUCCCUAAUUUCCCAUUCUCUUUGGCUACACCAAGUACAUGCAUAAGAUCCUCCAUGUUUCAAAGGUUUUACUCUUAAUAAAGAUGGUGAAAUCGACAAAGGACUGCAUUUCUGCAUAAUAACCAUGGGGACCUGCACAGCUUAAGAGGGCAUCACAUUCUUGGCUCCCUUGCAGGGGGUGGAGUUCAGCUUGCAGCGGACGCUGGCUCUCAGACUUCACAUCCUCUCCUCAGCAAACAGACCUGAAGACCAGUAGGUGUUGAUUGCCACAGUCCUUUCAGGUGUCCUCAUUUCAAUACAGUUUUCUUAGCUCACUAUGAUCAAUUUAUAGAUACUACUGCAUGGUAACCUUUCAACAACUGCGUUAGACAGGUAACAUCACUCCCAUUUACUAGUUAGAAAAAUGAGUCUCAGAGAGGUUACAUGCUACCUUAGAUCACAGAACUACAUCAUUCUGGAGCCACAAUACAAACCGAAGUAUCUGUGGCUCCAAAACCAUGCACUUGACUCUCUCCCUAGGGCACCUGAUGAGCAUAAGCAACAGCUGCAAAGCUCUUUAGAGGUUUGUUUUCCAAGGGGAGGAGGGUCCAGAGCUCCAACGUCUCAUGAACCUUCUGGCUUCAAGCCCUGAGCAACUUCAUGAUACAUCAUUAGCAUUUGGCAGUCAUAAAUACUAAAGUCAAAAUUAGACCCUUGGAAACUCUCAGACCAAUUACGUAAAGUUAAAGUUAUCUAGUACUGGAGAAAAGCCCCUUCCGUGGAGAAAGCAGUGCCGGUCUCUUUAAGCCUGAUGAGACUGGUCAGGGACUCACACCACAAGGGGACAGGACGGCCUGUCUGCUUGCUGAGCACCGUGCGGCAAAAGCUGAGAGCUCUAGAAGGUGCCAAGGCAGAGUGCAGAAUGUGCCGUCUUAAGAUCUGAGGUAACUCUGGGCAGCAGUGCCUGAGGUGUUCAUCUCCUAAUCCAAGGAGCGGCAGACCAGCUGGGUUGCGCAGGAGCAGUGGAGCAUCCAAGACUGUCCUGACUGUUCGGGAUGUGUCCCCUGCACACCGCAGUGCUGGGAUGGCAGCCAGCUAUGUGCCAAAAGGAGGUUGAUCCCAACUCCAGAGAGAAGUCUGAUUGGUUUGGGUCAUGCCAUCACGUCAGUCAACUCUUCAGGAAUGGAGGCCAGACUAGGGCAGAGAUCCCAGAACUGUCAGCUGCCAUCUUCGCCCAUGCACAGAGCAGGUGGAGGAGGCCCAGCUACAGAAGGAGAGCAAGACAGAGACAGAGGAAUGAGGGAGAAGGAAAAGGAGAGAGAGAACAGGAAGAUCAAGGGAAGGGAAAGGGGAGAAACAAAAGAAAGGGAAGAAAGAAGAGAAGAAAUUUAAUUUAACCUCAGUAGAGAUACAGUUGAAGCCAGCUGAUUCCUGAGCUAGUUUAAAUGGGGGUCUGCAACUGAGAGAGUCCUACCUAAUACAGAAGCUGUUCAGUCAUUCAUUCAUUUACCAAGUUAUUGUUUAUCUACUUUAUGCAGGUCACUAAAUGGAUAUGGGUGGGUGGGGGCACAGAUGGUCCUUGACCUCAUAGAGCUAUGCCUGGUUGGGGAAAUAAACAUUAUACACACACUUAUAUUCAGUUUGAAUAUAUACAUUCAGCUUUUCAUCUUAUGGAGGAAAAGAAUAGGGUACUGGGAAAUACAUCGGAGUAGAAUGAGAUAGAGAAGUCGUACAGUGUCAUUAGAAUAAUACUUACAGAAAAUGGCAGUGCAGAUGAGGCGACAUGGUGGAACCAGAGAAAACUUCAGUCAUGGUUGGAAGUUCAGGAGCCUCAUCCUAGCUCCGUCCAAAACCUCGAGAACCUUCCUCAACAGCAGAGAUAUCCCUCUGAGAAAGAAGGCUAUAUGUAGUUCAGUGCCCUAGGAAUGUCAUGGUCAUCACUAAAGUCUGCUUGCUCGUUGGUGAAGGCUGACAAACUGGAGGCAUUUGGUCUGAGGCCGCCUUCUC